CAAAAUGGCAUCAACUUCAAAAUAUCGGAAUCUGCCAUAGUUAUCCCAAUAACCAUUAAAUUUCAGAAUUAUCAGAAUUUUUGAAUCUCCGUACUGAUUGACUAUCACGGUCUCAAUUCUGAUUUUCGGUAUUUGAUGUACAAGAAUGAGUGAUUUCCGAAACUGAAAUCUGGAAGUACUACAAUUUUAUUGGCUAUCACGCUGUAAACUCUGAUUUUCAGUAUUUGAUGUAGAAAAAUGAAAGAUUUUCGAAACUGAAAUCUGGAAGAACUNN
rnacentral:lncRNA from 1 species